GGGAGAGCAGGAAGAGUCGCAUGGUGUCUAAAAUAUUCUUAUCCUUCUUCCCGACGAUCCUCUAUGUAAGUUGAUAUUUUACUUUUUAAUUGUCUUUUCUAACUUAUUUUUUCUAACUGCUUUCUCUUUUUUUCAGCUGGCGCACGAUAUGUCGAUGCUGGAGAGCGAUUAUCGGAACAUUGCAGACUUUUACCGAAUGUGGAGCGAUAAAGUUUCGACCGU
rnacentral:lncRNA from 1 species